AUUGAACGCUGGCGGCAUGCUUUACACAUGCAAGUCGAACGGCAGCGCGGGCUUCGGCCUGGCGGCGAGUGGCGAACGGGUGAGUAAUACAUCGGAACGUGCCCAGUAGUGGGGGAUAGCUCGGCGAAAGCCGGAUUAAUACCGCAUACGACCUGAGGGUGAAAGCGGGGGAUCUUCGGACCUCGCGCUAUUGGAGCGGCCGAUGGCAGAUUAGCUAGUUGGUGGGGUAAAGGCCUACCAAGGCGACGAUCUGUAGCUGGUCUGAGAGGACGACCAGCCACACGGGGACUGAGCCGCGGCCCAGACUCCUACGGGAGGCAGCAGUGGGGAAUUUUGGACAAUGGGCGAAAGCCUGAUCCAGCAAUGCCGCGUGUGUGAUGAAGGCCUUCGGGUUGUAAAGCACUUUUGGCGGGAACGAAAAGGACUGUGCCAAUACCACGGUUCGAUGACGGUACCCGCAGAAUAAGCACCGGCUAACUACGUG
rnacentral:rRNA from 1 species